CCUACGGGAGGCAGCAGUGAGGAAUAUUGGACAAUGGGCGCAAGCCUGAUCCAGCCAUGCCGCGUGCAGGAAGACUGCCCUAUGGGUUGUAAACUGCUUUUAUACAGGAAGAAACACUCCCUCGUGAGGGAGCUUGACGGUACUGUAAGAAUAAGGAUCGGCUAACUCCGUGCCAGCAGC
rnacentral:rRNA from 1 species